AGUGAACGCUGGCGGUAGGCCUAACACAUGCAAGUCGAACGGCAGCACAGUAAGAGCUUGCUCUUACGGGUGGCGAGUGGCGGACGGGUGAGGAAUACAUCGGAGUCUACUUUUUCGUGGGGGAUAACGUAGGGAAACUUACGCUAAUACCGCAUACGACCUACGGGUGAAAGCAGGGGAUCUUCGGACCUCGCGCGAUUGAAUGAGCCGAUGUCGGAUUAGCUAGUUGGCGGGGUAAAGGCCCACCAAGGCGACGAUCCGUAGCUGGUAUGAGAGGAUGAUCAGCCACACUGGAACUUAGACACGGUCCAGACUCCUACGGGAGGCAGCAGUGGGGAAUAUUGGACAAUGGGGCGAAGCCUGAUCCAGCCAUAGCGCGUGGUUUAAGAAGGCCUUCCGGUUUUAAAGCCCUUUUGUUGGGAAAGAAAAGCAGCAGGUUAAUACCCCGCUGUUCUGACGGUACCCAAAGAAUAAGCACCGGCUAACUUCGUG
rnacentral:rRNA from 1 species